CUAGAUUGGUGAUGGAGGUGAGAAGAGCCAGCCUGAAUGUGGGCAGCACCAUUUCAAGAGCCAGGCCCUGGUCUGCAUCACAGCGGAGCAAGCAGCUCGGCAAGCGACGAUGUGGUUGUUCUCUUUGCCCUGGACUGCGCCUGUGAGGCGACUAGCUGCGGCGUCUGGCACGGCGUGAGGGAAUGCAUGGAGUGAAGCUGCGGUGGCUUCACUGUGAAUUCCAUCAAGAGUUCCAGGGCAUAUAAUCAACCUGACUAUCCUCCUGAGUCCCACGGAGAAGGAAGCAGCGUCUCCUCCCAAGAUGGUUCCUCCUUCCUCAGUGGACCUGCUCUCAGGGGACGCCUCCUCUGCUGCCAGUCUCUGCACAAACAUGGCCCAUUUCCUGUCUUGUCCCCAUAAAUGCUCACCCGGCUGCCUGACCCUAAACAGAGCAGAUUAUGUUAUGGCUCUGAAUACAGCCAAUCGUGUCUGAUCUUGGGGGCUAGGCAGCAUCAGGCCUGGUUAGUGCACGGAUGGGAGAGUGCUCCCGAGUCUGUGGCAUUGUGUCGUGGUUGAGUUUCCUGGGAAGCUUCAAGUCAGCAACGGAUUACAUUCCUGUAUCCAUCUGAAAAGCCAGCAGGUUUCUCCAGGGACUACCGUGGAGGUUAGAGUCCAACUGAACCCGAUUAACCCAGAGUGACAGGCGAUACCCUAUGUAUGCUCAGCACAAUGAGACAUUAAAAUAACUUCAGA